AAGUCGUAACAAGGUUUCCGUAGGUGAACCUGCGGAAGGAUCAUUAACACUUCUAUAUCCAAUAACCAAAACUUAACGUGAACUAAACUUCGCCCUAUUAUCAUUUUAAGACUAAUUAGUGAAUGACUCAAUUCUAUAUAUUUAAUUUAUAUAUAGAUUUGUUUUGAUUUACUAUUCAGUUGAUAGUAGGCUAUUUUUAAUCAAUUCAUUUUAAAACCAUUAUAACUUCAAUUGAACUAAUACUAAGACAAUCUAGUAUUCCCAUAUGAAAUUAAAAGAUUUUAAUUAAUUAUAAUUUUCAUUUGUUAAUACUGCUUGUUGUUAUUUUACGAAAUGUAGAACAACUCUUAGCAAUGGAUAUCUUGGUUCUC
rnacentral:misc_RNA from 1 species